CAGAAUGAUACUAGUUCACCCAUUCAAGCAAUAACCUCCAACCUAAUAGAGUUUGAAAGAAUUCAGGCAAAAAUUUAAAACACUCUUUCUUUGUUAAUUUGCCAAAGUGUGAAUGAUCCAAUGCUCCUCCUUGUGAUACUUACAGUCAUAGAGAUAAAACAGGUAGUAGGAAUUAUGCCUUGUGACUCAGCCAUGAGUCUUGGAUGUUUUGAAUAAGGAAGUCAACAAAUGGUCUCUCUGUUCUUCAACACUAUCUGCUCACUUUCCAUCAGCCAGAUCAGAAUUCUAUGAGUUAUUGACCUUCAGUGAGUCUGUGUAUUUGAAUAAUGUCCUGAACAGUUAACUAAAUACCUUUUAAAUGCUCUUAUACAGCUACAAUAUGAUGAUACAAAUAUCCUUUGUCCAACUGGCAAAACGGAGAGGAUCAGAUCAUAAUUUCCUGAACUGGUCUUUUGGGAAACUUAAACCUCUGAGUUCCUGUAGACUGAGCUCCUCAAGGAAGAACUAAAAUAUGAACCAGCCAGAAAGAAGAGAUUUGGUUGACCAAGACAUGUCUUAGAGUUUGGUCAAGGGCUCUGCUCACAGGUUUCUACACUUGUACAAAUGCUGAAGAUGGAAAGGCCUUUCCUGAUUUGUUUGGAGAAUUGAAAUAGAACUUUGGUAGGUACUGUCUUAAUUCUUAGAACAACCUUAGAGAUCUCAGUCGACCUUUUCAUGUGAGAGAUGUUAAGGCUGAUUCCCCAGAGAGGGGAAAUGACUUGCUAAAAGUAAAUUAACACAAGAGGAAAUGACAUGACAAACACUUGCAGAGAUGUUUGGCUUAUUUAGUCACUGGAAAAAUAGAAAACAAAGCAAACUCAUGACACUACUUUACAUCCAUUGAGUCAACAAAAAUUCAAUAUUUUAUAUAUAAUUUUAUUUUAUCUCAAUUAAUGAUCAGGCAAGGAAAGAGACCAUCCAUGGAAGACGUAGUAAUUGCAUUAAACUGGUAAGUUUCUUUUCAAAGGCAAUAUGCUAAUUUAAACCACGAGUCAUAAACACGGUCCUACCCUGUGACUCAGUAGUCUAAUCCUUACAUCCUAAGGAUUUGUAGAUUUGUUCAAAGACUUUUAGAAGGGUGUGAUUCAGAAUUUGAGACCUUUAAGAUCUUAUCGCCUGAGCUUUUUCAAAAGCAUGUGAACAAAUGGAGAGCCACAGAGAAAUGAUUUUCCAAGUUUCUGAGCCAGGGUUGGAAUCUAAGAUUCCUGCCCAAGCAUAAGAUUCCUGCUCUGAAGUAGUUUAGUGAAAAGAUAAAUACAACCCAGAUCUCCUCAAAUCAAAGAGCUAGUUUAGCAUAUUGUUAAGAGCCUGGCUUCCUGGGAUCAGACUGUGGCUCUACCACUGGCUGAGUGGUUUACAGCAGGUACUUAAUUUUUGUGUUCUAUCAGCCAAACCCGUGUGCUAAGAGAAUCUUUUGUCUAUUUCCACCAUUGCUGCCACACCCAGUUUAGGUGGGCUCUGACUGACUCUGUGACCUUGUGCAGGCAAACUAUAAGGUACUUUGCCUCUAGCCCUGACACCUGCCUCUUGUCACCAACCCUGAGGCUUCCCUGCUGAUACUCAGGUGUGAUAUGUGCCAGGUCCAAAGUGUGUCGGAGUAAGAGAUCUCAUGGAGCAGAUGGGGACUCGUGGAUAAACAGUUCCUCUUUCCUCCCCUUGUAUAACUAUUUGAGAUGCGUUUUUACAGCUUUCUUGCUGGAUGGUCUCCAGAGGGGAUAGUCUCAUGAGAUGGAGCGAUUGAUCACAUUUGAUGGUUACCAGCUGGAUAAUGCACCUUCAAAUGGACUUUCCCCACUUCCUUGCCUCGUUUUACUAUUGCCUGCUUCCUUGAGGUUGAACCCUGAAUAAAGCAAUUCAUGUUACUCUUGGCUUUGGACUCCACUUUUUUUUUUUAAAUUUUUUAUUUAUUUUUGGCUGAGCUGGUCUUCAUUGCUGUGCAAGGGCUUUCUCUAGUUGCAGUGAGUAGGGGCUACUCGUUGUGGUGCGUGGGCUUCUCAUUGUGGCAGAUGCUCUUGUUGCAGAGCACAGGCUGUAGGGUGCAAGGGCUUCAGUAGUUUCGGCACAUGGGCUCAGAAGUCGUGGCCCCCAGGCUCUAGACCACAGGCUCAGUGAUUGUGGUGCACAGGCUUAGUUGCCCUCAACGUAUGUGAUCUUAGUUCCUGGACCAGGGAUUAAACCCAUGUCUCCUGCAUUGGUAGGUGGAUCCUUAAUCACUGGACAACGAGGGAGGUCCCUCCACUUUCUUUCCUCUGAAGCCAAACAAAGACAGAUGGUACCUAGCUAUAUAUGGUUAUAGGGAAGAAACAUUUAAUGAGUAAAAAUAGAUAAUGUGCUCAGAACUGUGUCUGACAUAUAGUAAUUAUUUUGUAAGCAUGAGCUAUUUUUAUCUAUCAUAACACUAUGUAUCACUGUGUACUGAAAAUGGAAAAUAUUUAGACGCUACACGGAGAACUGUAUGUGAAAUAAUAGUAACCAAAAACAGCACUAAGAAACAGGCAUCACAUAGAUUAUAACUCCAUAAAAAUUAUAUAUACCCCCUGGUGGUAGAGGGAUGCUA
ensembl:lncRNA